GACGAACGCUGGCGGCGUGCCUAAUACAUGCAAGUUGAGCGCUGAAGGUUGGUACUUGUACCAACUGGAUGAGCAGCGAACGGGUGAGUAACGCGUGGGGAAUCUGCCUUUGAGCGGGGGACAACAUUUGGAAACGAAUGCUAAUACCGCAUAAAAACUUUAAACACAAGUUUUAAGUUUGAAAGAUGCAAUUGCAUCACUCAAAGAUGAUCCCGCGUUGUAUUAGCUAGUUGGUGAGGUAAAGGCUCACCAAGGCGAUGAUACAUAGCCGACCUGAGAGGGUGAUCGGCCACAUUGGGACUGAGACACGGCCCAAACUCCUACGGGAGGCAGCAGUAGGGAAUCUUCGGCAAUAGACGAAAGUCUGACCGAGCAACGCCGCGUGAGUGAAGAAGGUUUUCGGAUCGUAAAACUCGGUUGGUAGAGAAGAACGUUGGUGAGAGUGGAAAGCUCAUCAAGUGACGGUAACUACCCAGAAAGGGACGGCUAACUACGUG
rnacentral:rRNA from 1 species